rnacentral:tRNA from 1 species
AAAGAAUUAGUUAAUGUAUAACAUAAAUAUGUCAAAUUUAAAUUAUUAUCUCAAAUAAUAUUCUUUU